GGGCAAUUAGUUUAGUGGUAUAACGUCCGUUUUGCAUAUUCGCGCUGCAACCCUACGGAAGGUCGUGAUUUCGAUUAUCACAUUGUCCA